rnacentral:rRNA from 1 species
CUACGGGGGGCUCCAGUGGGGAAUAUUGGACAAUGGGGGAAACCCUGAUCCAGCAAUGCCGCGUGUGUGAAGAAGGCCUGCGGGUUGUAAAGCACUUUCGGUUGGGAGGACUGCUUCUAGCACUAAUAUUGUUGGAAGUUGACGUUACCUUCAGAAGAAGCGCCGGCUAACUCCGUGCCAGCAGCCGCGGUAAUACGGCGGGUGCAAGCGUUAAUCGGAAUUACGGGGCGUAAAGCGCGCGUAGGCGGCUAGAUCAGUCGGGUGUGAAAGCCCCGGGCUUAACCUGGGAACUGCAUCCGAUACUGUCUAGCUUGAGUACAGGAGAGGAGAGUGGAAUUCCACAUGUAGCGGUGAAAUGCGUAGAUAUGUGGAGGAACACCAAUGGCGAAGGCAGCUCUCUGGCCUGAUACUGACGCUGAGGUGCGAAAGCGUGGGGAGCAAACAGGAUUAGAUACCCCUGUAGUC